rnacentral:rRNA from 1 species
UACGGGGGGGGCAAGCGUUGUUCGGAAUUACUGGGCGUAAAGGGCUCGUAGGCGGCCAACUAAGUCAGACGUGAAAUCCCUCGGCUUAACCGGGGAACUGCGUCUGAUACUGGAUGGCUUGAGUUUGGGAGAGGGAUGCGGAAUUCCAGGUGUAGCGGUGAAAUGCGUAGAUAUCUGGAGGAACACCGAUGGCGAAGGCAGGUCUCUGGGCCGAUACUGACGCUGAGGAGCGAAAGCGUGGGGAGCAAACAGG